CUUGGGCGUGUCCUGGAGCCAUGAUAUGAACGGAGCUGGAGACAUUCUGGGGGUGAGCUCUGACAAGAUGAUAUAAAUACUGAUUACACACCAGAAGAUGGCGGAUUACCUGAGGAUUGGGAUUAUAACCCUCAUCAUCCUCCAUUCAGGAUCUGGAAUUCCGGAAUUCCAAGAACUUUCCUGUUCCCCUAAAGUGAAAGCAAAAGUAAGAACAGAUGAGUGUUCUGGAGCCAUGAUAUGAACGGAGCUGGAGACAUUCUGGGGGUGAGCUCUGACAAGAUGAUAUAAAUACAGAUUACACCAGAAGAUGGCAGAUUACCUGAGGAUUGGGAUUAUAACCCUCAUCCUCCUCCAUCCAGGAUCUGGUGAAUUAGAAAUCCAGACGAUGGAUUCCCCUAUAGAGGCAUUGCUGGGUCAUAAUAUGACCAUUCCUUGUCACUUUUAUGGCUACAAGACACCUCUGAAUCUCUCUAUGGUUUCUGUGCGCUGGAGUCUAAAUAUUUUGAAAGAAGAACACCUUGUCUAUUUGUCCAGUGGUGAAAAACGUAUCCAAAAUAGAUCUGGGUCAGAUAUACCGCACAGUGCGCUUAUGGGAGGAGAUGGCAGCCUGUAUAUACCCAACAUUCAGCUUAAUGAUGAAGGAGAAUACACUUGUUCUGUUAUCGUCACUCCUGAUAACGCGAUAAGUAAAGUCAAUAUAAAGGUCUCAGCCAUCCCAACAUGUACAUUGAGUAACUCCAGACUAGAGAUGUAUCCAGACACUGAGGGAUCGGUUACAUGUUAUGUGAAUGGCUUCUAUCCAGAACAUGUGACAAUACAUUGGGUGAAGUACAGUAAAUCUUCCUCCAACAAAUCUAAACUGGACAACCAGACCUGCACCAGUAUACCAGUACAGAACCCUGAUGGAACGUAUAAUGUGAGAAAUCUACUGUCUGUGAGACCUAUGAGCAGAGAUGAGGAAGAAGAUAUAUAUUCCUGUGUAAUCCUCCACAGGUCACUAGAAAAUGAUGGUCUGACCUGUAAUGUUACUUUAUCUGUAAAAGAUAACAAUGCUGCUGGAAUAAUUGGGAUUGUAUGUGGGAUAUUUGUCUUUCUGCUCUUAGUGAUAUCAUUUGGCUUUUACAGAAUUUAUCAUAGAAAAGCGCCACCUGAGGUUUUGGACAUCGUUGGACCUGAAUUGACCCAUGGGAAGAAGACAAAGCUAGUAUAUCCAGUAAUAAAUUUCAGUCCAAAAAAUAUUAGUUUCUUCUUAUAUUUAAAUGAAGUCAAUGAAGAGAAUCUAGUAGACUCUUGGCCCAAUGAAAAGGAAAAAGUUCACCAUAAAGCUCGGAAAGAUCCGAUCCAGAAAGAGCUGAUGUUGCGGGUGAAAGCUGCACCUGUUCUGGAUCCAAUAGAGGCCAACCAGGAAUCCUACAAUGUCGGGGACCACUUGGAGCUGACGUGCAAAAUUCACUCAUUUCAUCCACGAUACAUAAAUGUGAUCUGGUACAAAGGAGAAGAAACUUUACCCUCAACAAAUAGAGAAGCUCAAGAAGAUGGAGAUGGUUUGUUCUAUGUCACCAGCUCUGUGAGGAUCACUGUAAUAGAGGAAGACUUUGGGAAAAUAUACAAGUGUAAAGUUGAGCACUUGGGUACACCAGAUAAUGAUGAAGGCGUCACAUGGACAUUACAAAGGCAAAGUGAUUAAAGUAAAUUGAUAGAAGGAAUCAGUUCUUACCAAGGAGAUCCACAGGAUCACUUCUUACUUCUGAUACAAAACACGACAUGAAAACCGCCAUAGAUCCAACAUUUCCUAUUGCUGAUCAGUCUGCUCCAAUAUCUCUAAAGCCCCGUUCACACAUUACAGAAUUAUUGGAGACAGAGGUUAUGUGCACAACUAUGAACUGAAGUUACAGUCUACCUCAACUUAUAUUUAACUUUUGCCUAAACUUCUCCUUAAGCAAUCUUAUGGAUAAUUGUCAUAUACAGUGACCCCUCGACCUACCAUGGCCCCAACAUACGAUAAUUUCAACAUGCGAUGGCCUCUCAUGGUGCGAUGGCCGGCAGGAGACGUCACUCGUCAUAUUAUCCACACAGCCCACAAGACCCGUCGCAUUACCUGAGCCUGCUGAGUACGGCCAGGUAAGGAAAUAUGAAAAAUAGAAAAAGCAGGAGAAGUUUCCGGGCCUGCCGCUGGUCACUGUUUUAAAGUGGCCGCGGCCGGGCUGCUGAUCCGCUACUGAGAAGCCGGCAGGGGGCCCCCUGGGGGAUGGGGGCCCUAGGCAAUUGCCUGGUUUGCCCCACUCUGGUUUGCCCUGUAGGUAGGUCCCCCUGUAGAUAGUAGCCAUCUGCAUAUAGUUGCAACUAGGGGUGUGAAUCGCCAAGAAUUUGGCGAUUCGAUUCGAAUCGCGAUACCAGUGUGGCGAUUCGAUAUAUCCCGAUAUAUCGCGAUACCGUCUAGGUGACGAUACAUCGCGAUAUAUCCCGAUACAUCGCCCACCUGGGAGCAUUCAUAGAUCCCAAUAGACGCCGCUGUCAGCUUUGACAGCGGCGAUCUAGUAGUCCGGUGCUCACUUUUCUCAUGUUAUCCCGUCCGGGCUG